UGAUUGGAGUUAACGCAGGAAUGAGCCAAGCUAUUCGUGGUAGCAACGCAGUCGCCACGAUCCAAGCUCUGGCAGCCAGUGGUGGCCAGCCAACCAUUUCCAGUCUUGAAUGUGGCAGCAAGGUGCUGAUUGGUGGUUCUGGAGGUCAAAGGUCAGCACUGCCAUCUUCCCUCUUCCUAAACCACCCCUCACUGCUGUCCAUGGCAACAGGCUCAGGCAUCGGAUUGGUCAGCUCAGCGAUUUCCAAACCCACUAAGGCUCCGUUUCCAGGUGGCAUGAGUCCCUCCCCUUGCUCCAGCCCCUCCUCUUCCUGCUCUUCCAGCGAACUGGCCCACAGCCCACACGUAAUGGGAGGAGCAAAGAUUGAGUGACACUUCCAGGAAACCAAUCACAGGAACAGGAGGAGGAAAUGAAACCGACCAAAGCAUCCCUAGCUCUCCUUCUCUCUCUUUUACUUGAUUUUCUGCCCUUCGUCCCUCACUGUCUCCUCCAAAAUACAAAAGCAGAAGAGGGGAGAGAUGGAAAGACAGAGGAGAAGAUAUGGAGGUGGCAGGAGGAGAGAUUCAUGUGUAAACCAAAAAUCCACAAAGAGGCAUCAUGCUUGCCUCUCCGGGGCGCAUAAAGAAAGAACCAGAAACAACAGGACAACAGGAAAUGCAGGACUACGACUGACCUGAUCCUGAACAAAAGACAACUCUGGUGGUUUGUCAGAGAAAGGUAAAAAAGAAUAGUUGUAUGCGUGCUCUUGUAAGUUUGGAGUACUUUAAACCAAAAAAAAAAAAUCAACAAAAAGAAAAAAAAGAUAGAUGUGAACUUUAAAAGACUCUUAAUGAUGAGAAGACAAAAACACCAAAACUCCAAAUACCAAAAAUCCCAAAACCAAAAAUAUGGAAGGAAAAGCUUUAUCCAGAGGACAUGUAAAUAUCCCAGCAUUCUGCAGAUCUGUUCAGACGAUCCAGCCAUCUCCCACUGUGCCAUUUCAUCUGCCAUCCUGUCAUGUUGUAUGUCUUUGUGUCACCAUUUUGUAUGUGAUUUUAAAUGAUUUUUUAUCUCACUGAAGAUGUACCAUUUAACACUGACUACACAGCGCUCAGACGGGUCACUGUUUCGGGGCAGAAGUCUCCCUCUUUCUGCCUUUUUAUCUUGUUUUCUUUCACAUGGCUCUGUUUGGCUCUCUUCACCUUCCGGAAAUGUCAAGGACCCACCACAUUUCUAACUCUCUUUUUUGUUAUUUGUUUGUUUAUUUUAAUUUUUUUAAGAUUGCAUAUUUUUAAGAUGUUUCUGAGAAGUGUGUCAUUACAUGUGGCCAUCAUGAUCACUGUGUUUUCAUGUCUUGCAGAAAAGAAAAUGAGUUGUAUCAACUAUAU
ensembl:lncRNA